GUGAGAGGAUUUCUGCAUGCUCUUCUUUGGAAUGCGUCUGAAAAUCUUUCCACUUGAGUGGGGAUGCCUGUCAAGGUCACUCUCCGGAGCUGAGAGAAAGAGAAUCGUCCACUGUCAUUGAUAUGGAUGGAAAAAUGCUUUAUAGGCAUGUGACUGGAUUGCUUCUGAAUUGAUGAUGAUAAUGGUGCAGAGAAGUGUUAAUGUCUCUUCAGAGGUCCAGGGGAGAGAAGAUUUCACUGAGAAAUUGUUCCCAGGUCCUGCCCGGAAUUUGCUCCAGUGUGGCCUUCCCAAUGAGUCAUAGCCUCCUUUGGGCAUCCAUCCACUCCAGCAAAAGGUCCUCCAUGGGCUGUGAGUGGACCUGUGUUCCCUGAUGGACCUCCAUGGGCUACAGUGGCAAGAAAAGAUUCAACGCGUUGUAAAAUCCGACUCUCAAGUAUAAUGAAUACUGCCAGCUACUUCUUUUUAUGAAUGAUGAAUCUCAAAUCAGUUGUAU